CCACAAAUUGAAAGUACGAUAGAAAAAAAAAAAAAAAAAAAAAAAAAAACAGAAAAAGAAUUCUC
rnacentral:ribozyme from 14 species